rnacentral:rRNA from 1 species
AUUUAAACAGAGUAAAAAGUACGUGAACUGCUUAGAGGUUAAACCCGAUGAACCUAAAUAUCCAGUAUGAGAAAGUCAUUAUUAUGAGUAUAUUAUUUUAUAAUGUAUUAAUAGUGUGCAUUUUUUUCAUAAAAAGGACAUUGUAAUCUGUUAAUACAAUUUAUAUAUUCUUUUAUAUAUUAUUUUUAUCAUAAAGAGUCAUGUAUAAGUUUACAUAUAAAUUAAUUAAUUUAUUAAUUAAUUGAUGUAAGAUCGAUGAAUUUCUAGAUAAAUAGUUAACAGUAUUAAAAUAUAUAAUGCUUACAUAAUUUUUUAUGUUUUAUAUAUAAUAUGUACAUGUACAUAUAUAUGUUUUUGCAUUUAUAUUAUAACAAUGCUAUAGAUUUAGGAUUCUUCAAAGUUG